rnacentral:rRNA from 1 species
CCUACGGGAGGCAGCAGUAGGGGAUAUUGCACAAUGGGGGGAACCCUGAUGCAGCGACGCCGCGUGGGUGAAGGAGUGUUUCGGCAUGUAAAGCCCUAUCGGCAGGGAAGAAGAUGACGGUACCUGACUAAGAAGCCCCGGCUAACUACGUGCCAGCAGCCGCGGUAAUACGUAGGGGGCAAGCGUUAUCCGGAUUUACUGGGUGUAAAGGGUGCGUAGGCGGGGUGGUAAGUCAGCGGUAAAAGCCCGGGGCUCAACCCCGGAGAGCCUUUGAAACUGGCUGUCUAGAUUUGACGAGAGGUAUGCGGAAUGCGCAGUGUAGCGGUGAAAUGCUUAGAUAUUACGCAGAACUCCGGUUGCGAAGGCAGCAUACCGGCGUCGAUCUGACGCUGAGGCUCGAAAGCGUGGGUAGCGAACAGGAUUAGAUACCCGAGUAGUC